GAAAAAGGGAGAGUUGAUAGAAACAAUACACAAGCAAUGUUGCCUAUUGCCUACGUAAGAUCAAACCAUGAUAUAAUCAUAUAUAGUUUUUUCUUGUCAGUUGCCACCACCAUUCCAGAUAUCCCAAGUGUUAUCUCUUGUAUUAUAUGGGAAUUUUUGUGUCUCCCUUUGUAGCUAACAUACAAUUUUGUUGACCCUUAAAUGUCUGAUUUGAUAAACUUCGAAACUCUAUUUCAUUUAUUGUAUGUUUGGAACCACAUUUACAUUCUCU
rnacentral:lncRNA from 1 species